rnacentral:rRNA from 1 species
UACGGGGGGGGCAAGCGUUGUUCGGAAUUACUGGGCGUAAAGCGUGCGCAGGCGGUUUGUUAAGUCCGCUGUGAAAUCCCCGAGCUCAACUUGGGAAUUGCAGUGGAUACUGGCAAGCUGGAGUAUGGUAGAGGAAGGUGGAAUUCCCGGUGUAGCAGUGAAAUGCGUAGAGAUCGGGAGGAACACCAGUGGCGAAGGCGGCCUUCUGGACCAAUACUGACGCUCAUGCACGAAAGCGUGGGGAGCAAACAGG